rnacentral:lncRNA from 1 species
UUAAAUUUACACAUAAGUUUUCAAGCUUCAUCAAAUCUUCAUUUUUCAAGACAAUUUUUACCAACACUUUGUACAAAAAUUUCUUAAUGGGAUAUACUUAAUGUCAUUUUAGCUAUCAAAUAAUUGCCACUUCUACAACGUUAUAGUUAGUAUUAUAGGAUGAGCUACUAGAUUGUGUUAAAUCAACCACAAUCGUCUUUCAACAAAUUCCAUGAAAAAACUCAC